GAUGAACGCUGGCGGCGUGCCUAAUACAUGCAAGUCGAGCGAACAGAUGAGGAGCUUGCUCCUCUGACGUUAGCGGCGGACGGGUGAGUAACACGUGGAUAACCUACCUAUAAGACUGGGAUAACUUCGGGAAACCGGAGCUAAUACCGGAUAAUAUAUUGAACCGCAUGGUUCAAUAGUGAAAGACGGUUUUGCUGUCACUUAUAGAUGGAUCCGCGCCGCAUUAGCUAGUUGGUAAGGUAACGGCUUACCAAGGCAACUAUGCGUAGCCGACUUGAGAGGAUGAUCGGCCACACUGGAACGGAGAAACGGUCCAGGCUCCGACGGGAGGCAGCAGUAGGGAAUCUUCCGCAAUGGGCGAAAGCCUGGCGGAGCAACGCCGCGUGAGUGAUGAAGGUCUUCGGAUCGUAAAACUCUGUUAUUAGGGAAGAACAAAUGUGUAAGUAACUAUGCACGUCUUGACGGUACCUAAUCAGAAAGCCACGGCUAACUACGUG
rnacentral:rRNA from 1 species